rnacentral:rRNA from 1 species
GACAGAGGUGCCAAGCGUUAGGCGGAAUCACUGGGCUUAAAGCGUGUGUAGGCGGAUCGUUAAGUACCUUGUGAAAUCCCACGGCUCAACCGUGGAACUGCUCGGUAUACUGGCGGUCUUGAGCCACCUAGGGGCAACUGGAACAAGCGGUGGAGCGGUGAAAUGCGUAGAUAUCGGGAGGAACAUCCGUGGCGAAGGCGACUACCUGGACCAGCACUGACACUGAGGCACGAAAGCGUGGGGAGCAAACAGG